rnacentral:sRNA from 1 species
CUUAAAUAGAUUAUUGCCCUCAUAAGGCAUUGGCUGGUGAUUUUUUAAUCGCCGGCCU